GGCACUAGAGCAGGGGGCCGAG
rnacentral:piRNA from 1 species